rnacentral:rRNA from 1 species
GAUGAACGCUGGCGGCGUGCCUAAUACAUGCCAGUCGAGCGAACGGACGAGAAGCUUGCUUUUCUGAUGCUAGCGGCGGACGGGUGAGUAACACGUGGAUAACCUACCUAUAAGACUGGGAUAACUUCGGGAAACCGGAGCUAAUACCGGAUAAUAUUUUGAACCGCAUGGUUCAAAAGUGAAAGACGGUCUUGCUGUCACUUAUAGAUGGAUCCGCGCUGCAUUAGCUAGUUGGUAAGGUAACGGCUUACCAAGGCAACGAUGCAUAGCCGACCUGAGAGGGUGAUCGGCCACACUGGAACUGAGACACGGUCCAGACUCCUACGGGAGGCAGCAGUAGGGAAUCUUCCGCAAUGGGCGAAAGCCUGACGGAGCAACGCCGCGUGAGUGAUGAAGGUCUUCGGAUCGUAAAACUCUGUUAUUAGGGAAGAACAUAUGUGUAAGUAACUGUGCACAUCUUGACGGUACCUAAUCAGAAAGCCACGGCUAACUACGUG